rnacentral:rRNA from 1 species
AGAGUUUGAUUCUGGCUCAGGAUGAACGCUAGCGACAGGCUUAACACAUGCAAGUCGAGGGGCAUCACGGGAGUAGCAAUACAACUGGUGGCGACCGGCGCACGGGUGAGUAACGCGUAUGCAACCUACCUAUCAGAGGGGAAUAACCCGGCGAAAGUCGGACUAAUACCGCAUAAAACAGGGGCACCGCAUGGUGAUAUUUGUUAAAGAAAUUCGCUGAUAGAUGGGCAUGCGUUCCAUUAGGUAGUUGGUGAGGUAACGGCUCACCAAGCCGACGAUGGAUAGGGGAACUGAGAGGUUGGUCCCCCACACUGGUACUGAGACACGGACCAGACUCCUACGGGAGGCAGCAGUGAGGAAUAUUGGUCAAUGGGCGGGAGCCUGAACCAGCCAAGUCGCGUGAAGGAAAGAAGGAUCUAUGGUUCGUAAACUUCUUUUGCAGGGGAAUAAAGUGCAGGACGUGUCCUGUUUUGUAUGUACCCUGAGAAUAAGGAUCGGCUAACUCCGUGCCAGCAGCAGC